rnacentral:rRNA from 1 species
UACGUAUGGAGCAAGCGUUAUCCGGAUUUACUGGGCGUAAAGGGAGCGUAGGCGGCCUGCCAAGUCUGAUGUGAAAUACCGGGGCUCAACCCCGGGGCUGCAUUGGAAACUGGCAGCCUCGAGUGCGGUAGGGGUAAGCGGAAUUCCCGGUGUAGCGGUGGAAUGCGCAGAUAUCGGGAAGAACACCGAUGGCGAAGGCAGCUUACUGGGCCGACACUGACGCUGAGGCGCGAAAGCUAGGGGAGCGAACAGG